AUUGAACGCUGGCGGCAGGCCUAACACAUGCAAGUCGAACGGUAACAGGCAGCAGCUUGCUGCUUUGCUGACGAGUGGCGGACGUGUGAGUAAUGUCUUGUACACUGCCCGAUGGAGUGGGCUAACUACUGUAAACGUUAUCCAAUACCGCAUAACGUCGUAAGGCCAAAGUGGGGGACUUUAUUGCCUCUUGCCUUCGCUCGUGCCCUAUUGGGUUUUUCUAGUGGGUGGGGUAUCGGCUCACCUCGGCGACUAUCCCUCGCUGGUCUGAGAGGAUGAAGAGCCACACUGGAGCUGAGACACGGUACAGACUCCUACGGGAGGCAGAAGUGGGGAAUAUUGGAAGAUGGGCGGAAGCCUGAUGCAGGCAUGCAGCGUGUAUGAAGAAGGCCUUCGGGUUGUAAAGUACUUUCAGCGGGGAGGAAGGGAGUAAAGUUAAAACCUGUGCUCAUUGACGUUACCCGCAGAAGAAGCACCGGCUAACUCCGUG
rnacentral:rRNA from 1 species